UUUGCCCUACGGGGGGCAGCAGUGGGGAAUAUUGCACAAUGGGGGAAACCCUGAUGCAGCAACGCCGCGUGAGUGAAGAAGUAUUUCGGUAUGUAAAGCUCUAUCAGCAGGGAAGAGAAUGACGGUACCUGACUAAGAAGCCCCGGCUAACUACGUGCCAGCAGCCGCGGUAAUACGUAGGGGGCAAGCGUUAUCCGGAUUUACUGGGUGUAAAGGGAGCGUAGACGGCUGGCCAAGUCUGAAGUGAAAGCCCGGGGCUUAACCCCGGAACGGCUUUGGAAACUGGCCGGCUGGAGUGCUGGAGA
rnacentral:rRNA from 1 species